CACGACAUGCAUGAGAUUGGUAAGGAACCAACGCUAAACGGAACUUAAUUGAAAAUUUGAACAUCUAAGAUCGGGAUCUUCAUUAAACCGGAUUGGAACCUUAGCUUGAUUAUUCCUAAACUUUUUAAAAGAGGGGUCGAUCAUAAAUAUUGGCGGCAAGGUUCUAGUGUUAGUUCAAUUUCGUCUGACAAGAGUGAUCGGGAAUGUAGUUAACUGGUCAGGAUAUUUGACAAUUGGCUUGAGAGAUCAGUGAAUGAUCUGAGAGACCGGUAAGGCUUUAACGGAUACAAGAG
rnacentral:misc_RNA from 1 species